rnacentral:rRNA from 1 species
GUCUAUGGCCAUUCUACUCUGACCAAGCCCGAUCUCGUCUGAUCUCGGAAGCUAAGCAGGGUCAGGCCUGGUCAGUGCUUGGAUGGGAGACCACCUAGGAAGACCAGGUGCUGUAAGCA